AUUCGCGGCCUAUCAGCUUGUUGGUGGGGUAACGGCUCACCAAGGCGACGACGGGUAGCGGGUCUGAGAGGAUGAUCCGCCACAUUGGGACUGAGACACGGCCCAGACUCCUACGGGAGGCAGCAGUGGGGAAUCUUGCGCAAUGGGCGAAAGCCUGACGCAGCAACGCCGCGUGGGGGAUGAAGGCUUUCGGGUUGUAAACCCCUUUCAGCAGGGACGAUUAUGACGGUACCUGCAGAAGAAGGACCGGCCAACUACGUGCCAGCAGCCGCGGUAAUACGUAGGGUCCGAGCGUUGUCCGGAUUUAUUGGGCGUAAAGAGCUCGUAGGUGGCUUCGUAAGUCGGGUGUGAAAACCCCAGGCUCAACCUGGGGACGCCACUCGAUACUGCGGUGGCUUGAGUCUGGUAGGGGAUCACGGAAUUCCUGGUGUAGCGGUGAAAUGCGCAGAUAUCAGGAGGAACACCAGUGGCGAAGGCGGUGAUCUGGGCCAGUACUGACACUGAGGAGCAAAAGCGUGGGAAAUCGUCGGACCCCUGCCAG
rnacentral:rRNA from 1 species